rnacentral:rRNA from 1 species
GACGAACGCUGGCGGCGUGCUUAACACAUGCAAGUCGAGCGGUGAAAGCGGAGCUUGCUCCGCUGGAUCAGUGGCGAACGGGUGAGUAACACGUGGGCAACCUGCCCCUCACUUCGGGAUAACUCCGGGAAACCGGGGCUAAUACCGGAUAUGACCUCCCUGGGCAUCCGUGGGGGUGGAAAGUUUUUCGGUGAGGGAUGGGCCCGCGGGCUAUCAGCUUGUUGGGGAGGUAGUGGCUAACCAAGGCGACGACGGGUAGCCGGCCGGGGAGGGCGACCGGCCAGACUGGGACUGAGACACGGCCCAGACGCCUACGGGGGGCAGCAGUGGGGAAUAUUGUGCAAUGGGCGAAAGCCUGACGCAGCAACGCCGCGUGCGGGAUGACGGCCUUCGGGUUGUAAACCGCUUUCAGCAGGGAAGAAGCCGCAAGGUGACGGUACCUGCAGAAGAAGCACCGGCUAACUACGUGCCAGCAGCCGCCGUAA